rnacentral:lncRNA from 1 species
AGGUAAGUUACUACUGUGGGCCACUGGAGCUUAGCCCUGCUGGUACUUCUGGGAGAUGGUGUAGAGACGCCCCAGAGGGAUGAGGGGGCUGGGGUAUUUAUCCCCCAACUCCCUUCAGUCCUUGUCUGAGGGCUGCUGGACAAGGGGCUGUCUGUGUUCAUUCCGGGCUCUUCCUGCCUGCCGGGGGACAGGCAGACGAGCUCUGGUUCCAGACAAAGCUCUUAGACAAAGAAAAGCAGGUGAAGGCAGUUGGAACUCGAACAGGCAAGGAGGUAAAGUAAAUCUGGCCAGGGUACUACCAGACUCUGCUACAGACUCACCAGAGCCUUGUUCCACGUUGACACUUCAGUACUCAGCAAAGAACAUUCUGGACCAGAACCGUGGUUGGGGAAAGGAGGGGUGUCUGUCUCUGACUCAGGUGGAGUGUCUGCUGCAUCGUCUGGAAAGACCCUUGAAAGGAGCCUGCUCUUCAUCAGAGGAGGAGAGUGGAACGCUUCCUUCUUCCCAUCAUAUUCUGAUGACUGGGGGAAGCAGAUGGCUUGAGAUUGGCCUUAAGAAUUGGGGUGUUUUACGGGGAGAGAGGUAGAGGGUUGGGGGUGGAAAAAAUGAAAAAGGAAAUCAGAUGAGGUUGUUGUUUGAGCCUACACCCAAGAAGGGCUGGGUACUGAGGCGAGUUUUGUGUUAUUUCCUGAAGGUGGAGAUGUUGGAGCCUGGAUGGGGCUCUGUGGCCGUGAGCUGGAGAAGCCCAGACUUUUGAUAAGUUCAGUCUCCAAGUAAAGAUAGAAGGAUCCUGUGUUGCUGGCUGGAUCGUGAGAUAGUGGUGGAUAACACUUAAAAAAAAACCCCACAACUCAUUCAAAUUCUUAGAAAGGAAAAACUGGAUUCCAAAUGUGACCACAUAAACAUUGCUCUGAGGGGAAGAGUUGUGAAGAAACUAUUUGGCAAAAAUAUAUUUUAUGAACUACUUACACCUCCUGAUAAAUUGCAUUAAAAGAUCAUGAGUGAUUUAUGGCCAAAAUUUCCUUUGACAUCUGUUUAAAUGAUGUAACUCUUCCGACUUGCAUCAUGGACGCUAUCUCAGCCCGUCAAUGAAUCAAUAUCCAUUUAUUGAUGUCUCGUACAGGCAAAAUGAAACCAGUGUUUCUCAGCUCAGCAUGUUCCUUGGUGUACAUUUUCUGAUACCCUGAAUUCUGAUUUUUACUAGCACUUGGCAGAGCUAGUAUCUGCUUCCCCCCACCUUUUUCCAUUGUAUCCUCUGGUUCCUAGUUCAAGAGCAUGGUGUCAGGCAUAUAAGUAUUUGUUAAAUGAGUGAAUGAAUUAGAAAAAUCACACUUAAAAGAGGGUGUCCUAGGUUAUAGUCAGUAAAAUGUACUUGGAGUGUGGUGGUCAAGAUGUUACGGAAUAUCGGCCUUCUUCAUAAUAAAUGCCUCAUAUUUGGACA